rnacentral:tRNA from 12 species
UCCCCCAUGGUGUAAUCGGCAACACUUCUGAUUUUGGUUCAGGCAUUCCAGGUUCGAGUCCUGGUGGGGGAGCAA